ensembl:lncRNA novel transcript
CCCGGCCUCUUCGGGGACGCACGGUUGGAAGUUGUACCGUGACGUGAUGGUCAGAUCGGAUGAUAGAAUUUUGAAACCUCCCCAGCAUUAAGGCAAGAAAGGUGUCUCUGUUUUUUCCGAAGUGUGCCUGCUUGACUCCUUUGAUUUUUCUCUGGGAUUCUUCAUCCUCCAUCAAGUUGAUCGAUCCCUCUGGAUCUUGGUCAGUUUCCUGACAUCUCUAUGAAGUUCAGUGACCCAGACUGAGUCCACGUCUCAAAUAAGGUUCUGACUAAUGCAGAGUCUAACAGAAAGAUUACUGAACAUGUCAUGCACUAUUAAUAACUCCUGUUAUCGAGGAUUUUUUUUUCACAAUAGGAAUGAACAGAGUUCUGACUCACUCUAGGUUUGUGGUAAAUUGCAGAUCACUUUCUGCUUUAUUUAGCGGGAGUCCCUGUUG